AUUUAGAUGAAUGAGCACCCACAGUGGAUGCUCAGGAGGGCAGGUGUGGGUUGAGCAGCUCCAAGAAGGGCCCGGCUGCUAUCUUCACAUAGGCAGAAGCAUGCCCUGCCCUGUGCUGCAGCAGGCUUCCUGGGAGGUGCUUUGGUCUCUGUUGCAUUAGACAGCUACGUGGGUGCCCAUAGGGAUGUGUCUCCAGGGCAUUUGCUCACAGGGCAUCUCCGGAUCUGUUAGCAGGGGUGUGAGCACAGCUUGCUGUUACAGGGCAGUCUGCAUACAUGGCAUCAUGACACAAGGCAGAGUGAAGUCAGCAGUACUGUCCUAGCAGGGGCUCUCUGGAGGUAUAUACUCAUCUCUGUGCUAUCCCCAGGGCUGCUAGGGUCAUCUUUAAGGCUUACUUUUGUAUCCUGAAGUCUGAAGCUAGGCAGCAUUAGUUAGAUACUUGUUAAGAGGAAAGAAUGGCUACCUCUGGGUUAGGGGCUGAGGAGGUCUCCCAGAGGAGCCGGUAUUCCAGCCGAGUGUCAUCCUCUCUCUUACUCUCUCACUCUGUCUCUCUCUUUUUACCUCAGGUUCCUCUACCACUGAGGUCUAUCUCCAGACUUUUGCGUUAGGUUUUGAGACAGGGUGUCACUAAGUUGCCCUGGCCAGUCUCAAACUUGUGAUCCUACCUCAUUCUCUAAAGUACAUGGAAUUACAGCUGUGCCUGGCUUUAGAUACAUCUUGAGUUAAGAGGAUUUUGUUGAAUGGGACCUGGGGAGGGCAACCUGAGAGGGUUAGAUAGAGCCCAGGGACUUAAAGAGGGUUUUUGGCUGGAGCAGAACCAUUUGUAGAGUGAGGCUAUAUGAUAGGAGGCCAUGUAACUGGAUGGGGCCCAACUUAUAAGGUUGGGCAAAGGAGUGAACUGUACGCUGAUCACUGCAAUCAGUGCCUUCACUUGGGUUUCACUGUGAGCAAUUGUCCUGGCAAGUUGUCGGUUUUCUUCCUAGGAAAAUUAAUUGAUCAUCUCAUUUGGCCACUCAGCUGUCUGGCAAAAUGUUGUGUUUCUCUGGUGGGCCAGGGGUAUGUAGACAACAGGGGUUCAGAGAUGAUGAGGUGCAGCCUCUGUGGCUCAGGAGCAGCCUU
rnacentral:lncRNA from 1 species